UAGUGGGUGCAGGUGAAUUAUGGGAGUUGUAGUGAGGGCUGAUAAUAGUGGGUGCAGGUGAAUUAUGGGAGUUGUAGUGAGGGAUGAUAAUAGUGGGUGCAGGUGAAUUAUGGGAGUUGUAGUGAGGGCUGAUAAUAGUGGGUGCAGGUGAAUUAUGGGAGUUGUAGUGAGGGCUGAUAAUAGUGGGUGCAGGUGAAUUAUGGGAGUUGUAGUGAGGGAUGAUAAUAGUGGGUGCAGGUGAAUUAUGGGAGUUGUAGUGAGGGCUGAUAAUAGUGGGUGCAGGUGAAUUAUGGGAGUUGUAGUGAGGGCUGAUAAUAGUGGAUGCAGG